rnacentral:rRNA from 1 species
UAAAUAGCCAGGCUAGCUUUGGCUGGUCGCCGGCUUCUUAGAGGGACUAUCGGCUCAAGCCGAUGGAAGUUUGAGGCAAUAACAGGUUAACCUACACAGGCCUGUAACAGUGGGCCUCGUAAAAGAUAACUGCUAGUUCAGCGUUUUUACCUUCUUGGGGAAGUCCCCUACUGU